rnacentral:tRNA from 1 species
GGUUCUGUAUUCAAUGAUGAUUUUAAAUUGCAAAUUUAAAGGUGAAUAUAUUAUUCCAGAACUU